rnacentral:rRNA from 1 species
UACGGAGGGUGCAAGCGUUAUCCGGAUUUACUGGGUUUAAAGGGUGUGUAGGCGGGCUAUUAAGUCAGUGGUGAAAUCUCCGGGCUCAACCCGGAAACUGCCAUUGAUACUAUUAGUCUUGAAUUUUGUUGAGGUAGGCGGAAUAAGUCAUGUAGCGGUGAAAUGCGUAGAUAUCAAGAGGAACACCUGAGGUGAAGACGGGGUUGCUGGGCUGAUACUGACGCUGAGGCGCGAAAGCGUGGGGGAGCGAACAGG